GAUGAACGCUGGCGGUAUGCUUAACACAUGCAAGUCGAACGGAGUUCCUUCGGGGACUUAGUGGCGGACGGGUGAGUAACCCGUGAGAACCUACCCUUAGGAUGGGGACAACAGUUGGAAACGACUGCUAAUACCCGAUGUGCCGGAAGGUGAAAGAUGUAUCGCCUAGGGAAGGGCUCGCGGCUGAUUAGCCAGUUGGUAAGGUAAAGGAUUACCAAGGCGACGAUCAGUAGCUGGUCUGGGAGGAUGAGCAGCCACACUGGGACUGAGACACGGCCCAGACUCCUACGGGAGGCAGCAGUGGGGAAUUUUCCGCAAUGGGCGAAAGCCUGACGGAGCAAUACCGCGUGUGGGAGGAAGGCUCUUGGGUUGUAAACCACUUUUCUCAGGGAAGAAUAGAUGACGGUACCUGAGGAAUAAGCAUCGGCUAACUACGUGCCAGCCGCCGCCGUAAAAC
rnacentral:rRNA from 1 species